CCUCAGCGUACAGAUUGCAGCUUCACCAUCGUCUCCUUGCAAGCUCUGACUUGGUUCGAUUUUUCUUGCCGCCUGGUGAGUCCAGGUUCAUGAGAGCUGGACAUCCUCCUACAACCAGCUGACCAUAGUGCCACCGACGGACCACAAGUUGUGGCUGAAAACACCUGGCUUCUAACAAUCAAGAAUCGAAGUCAUAACCGCUAGCUGUCCAGUAAAACCCAAGAGAUGGAAGGCCGAAUUCCUUUCAGAGAUAUUACAAAUGUUCACUCGAUGACUUCACCAAAAGGGAACCAACUAGCUGCGGUUGCAGAGCAGAAUGAUCCUUUAGCAGAAACCAAUAAGGCUAUCCAAAUGAAUUCUUCCCAGCGUAAGCGUUACCG